UUAACCACUUCGGUGAAACCUGAAACCGGCGAUCUGGGGGAUGGUGCUGACAGAACUAGAACCUGUCGGGGAGAAUCGGGAAUCGAACUCACGAUCGUAGCUUAUUGUCUUGACCAGGGACGAUACUCUGCACAGCGAAUUAGGGUGCCUUGGAGUAAUGGGCCAUUCCUGCUUCGGCAAGAUUCUUUAUGGGAGGUGGCGAUGUCGGGAGAUAUCGGACAUGAUACAACCACCAGCACCGGACACGAAGGCCACGGGUACAUCUUCCCCACCAUCAAAGAAGAUCGCAAUCGAGACGGCAGAUAAUCAAGAUGCCGCUAAUGAACAGCGAAUCAAACUAACAUGUACUAACUCCGCGGUAAACGUCAUUAAUAUCAGUUUGCAACAGGUCCAGAAUAAAUGACUAAAAUGA